rnacentral:rRNA from 1 species
UGACGCUGGCGGCAGGUCUACACGUGCAUGUCGAGCCGGAGAGAGGUCGCUUGCUACUGAUCUUAGCGGCGGACGUGAGUAAUGCUUAGGAAUCUGACUAUUAGUGGGGGACAACAUUUCGCAAGGAAUGCUAAUACCAGAAUACGUCCUACGGGAGAAAGCAGGGGAUCUUCGGACCUUGCGCUAAUAGAUGAGCCUAAGUCGGAUUAGCUAAUUGGUGGGGUAAAGGCCUACCAAGGCGACGAUCUGUAGCGGGUCUGAAAGGAUGAUCCGCCACACUGGGACUCGAAACACGGACCAGACUCCUACGGGAGGCAGCAGUGGGGAAUAUUGGCCAAUGGGCGCAAAGCAUGGAAUCCCAAGCAAUGCCGAGAUGUGUGAAAAAAUGGCUUAUGGUUGUAAAACACAUUUAAACGACGAGGAGGCACCUUUUACUUAAUACCUUAGAGAUAUUGGACGUUAUCGCCAAAUAAACACCGGUUAACCUGUGCCAGAUAGCGCAGAAUCCGAGGGUGCAGGUAAACGGAUUAUGGGCGUAAACGCGCAUAAGAGGCUAAUAAGUAAAUGUGAAUCCCAAACUAAAAGUGAAUUGAUCGAAACUGGUUAGAAAAAGUGGAGACGAUGU